UACGUAGGGGGCAAGCGUUGUCCGGAUUUAUUGGGCGUAAAGAGCGUGUAGGCGGCCAUACAGGUCCGUUGUGAAAACUGGAGGCUUAACCUCCAGACGUCGAUGGAAACCGUAUGGCUAGAGUCCGGAAGAGGAGAGUGGAAUUCCGGGUGUAGUGGUGAAAUGCGUAGAGAUCCGGAGGAACACCAGUGGCGAAGGCGACACGCUGGGCCGUACCUGACACUGAUGCGCGACAGCAUGGGGAGCAAACAGG
rnacentral:rRNA from 1 species